rnacentral:sRNA from 1 species
CGUGUACAAGCUCCCUUUAUUAACCAAUAAAAAAUCAUAUUUAGCAUUUGACUCUGUAUGUUAAAAAUUACGUUUUGAUUACACGUCCAUUCUUGAUUGGUUGAAAAUUUAACGUUAGUAACUUUUGUGUUAAUUCAGAUAUAUGUGUGUAUUGUUCAAUAUGUGAUAGAAGAAACUCCCUCUAACAGGCAACAGAAAUGAAUUCUUCAUCCAUCAUCCGUGUUGAGACUAAGCCGCAAUGCCGAACACGCAAAAGAAAAACUCAAGUCAAAGAAAUCCAAAGGACAAAGCUGAAGACGGAAAAUGAUGAUUCUGACGCCUAUAGUCAUAAAGAAAUAUCCAGAAAUGAUAUUUAUGCAUGGAAUUAUUUGUCUGUGACAGAAAUAACACGACUUAAGUAAAAAUACUAAGAGUGAUGUUGAUACAGAUUGUUAGAGAACUAAAAAAGGUUCUUUGGUAUA